UACGUAGGGUGCGAGCGUUGUCCGGAAUUAUUGGGCGUAAAGAGCUUGUAGGCGGUCUGUCGCGUCUGCUGUGAAAAUCCGGGGCUCAACCCCGGACUUGCAGUGGGUACGGGCAGACUAGAGUGUGGUAGGGGAGACUGGAAUUCCUGGUGUAGCGGUGAAAUGCGCAGAUAUCAGGAGGAACACCAGUGGCGAAGGCGGCACUCUGGGCCGGUACUGACGCUGAGGAGCGAAAGCGUGGGGAGCGAACAGG
rnacentral:rRNA from 1 species